rnacentral:rRNA from 1 species
GACGUAGGAGGCGAGCGUUGUCCGGAGUUACUGGGCGUAAAGCGCGCGCAGGCGGCCCUGUGCGCUGCUGGUGAAAGCUCCCGGCUUACCUGGGAGAGGUUCGGCAGGACGGCAGGGCUGGAGGGUGGGAGAGGUCGGUGGAAUUCCCGGUGUAGUGGUGAAAUGCGUAGAGAUCGGGAGGAACACCAAUGGCGAAGGCAGCUCGCUGGGACGUUACUGACGCUGAGACGCGAAAGCGUGGGGAGCAAACAGGG